ensembl:lncRNA
UUCCUGAUUGAGACAAUAGACAAAUGUUUCAAAUGGCUAAUGUUUUACCUGCUGUUUAUCUGCGCUGAGUCAGUGAGGACAGUUUGCAUGCGGGUGAGGUGUACGUGGUUGAUACGUGGUCGAAGGGUUGACAUUUAGAGAGGUUGGUGCUGUGGUUUCAAAGCGACGCGUAGCAGUUAGAGUAAGGAGGAGGUGUGUGUGAGGAACAGGGGAGGAGGAGGAGGGAACACACACAGAAAGAAAGAGACAGAAAGAGAGAAAGAAAGACGAUAACAAGCGUGUCCUGGCAUGGGUUUUUCCCCCCAGGGUCGUCUGUGCUUUUACACUCAUCUUGGUAGUUUCACCCCCACCCACAAAUGACAAGAACAGCGGCAUUCAUUAUCGUUUUAAUAUAUCGUCAUCGUUUUAAUACGUCAACAGGCAGCAUUCAUUAUCGUUUUAAUAUAUCGUCAUCGUUUUAAUACGUCAACAGUCAGCAUUCAUUAAGGGUCUUAAUGCGUCAACAGGCAGCAUUCAUUAUCGUUUUAAUAUAUCGUCAUCGUCUUAAUACGUCAACAGUCAGCAUUCAUUAAGGGUUUUAAUACGUCAUCAGUCAGCAUUCAUUAAGGGUUUUAAUACGUCAACAGUCUAAAACUCCAACACAAGGCCUCAUGAGGAUACGGUGUGUAGAUGGCCGCAGACUUCUAUUGGACUAGAGUUAAAUUAGAGCUAUAUUAGCGUUAUAGUAACGUUACACUAGAGUUCCAUCCUACUAUUACAUAUGUACAGAUAUCCACAAGGUGUUUAUACACUAAACAAGUUCCCAGUCUCAAAGAGGAACAUGUAAAUGUUCAAGAAAAGGGUUGAUUUCGGACUGGACUGAGAGCCAGCCUGGUGCGUAAGUGAGCUGCUAUCACACAGAGGUCUGACCAAAUCAGUGGCAUCAGCCAGACGGGAGUCCCAGACAGAGCACAGGUAGUGGAAAUAAACGGGGAGAGAACGGGAGCCUGUGGCCAGGGAAGAUCUGACAGCUAUUUCAUCUCCACAAUAGUGCUGAUGG